UCAAAGGCAGCCUGGGGAGAAACACUGCCUCUUUCAGGAAGUCUUCUGGGAUUAGCCAAGGUCCUAGUCAGCCUGCCCAACUCAGAUCUCUUCCGUUCUUGCUUCACCUUUGCAAUGAGUCACGUCCCGGUGCUUUGGUUUGUUUGCCUGUUUCUCUUACAAGUGCAGCUCAUGACCUCCCCCCUCCUCCCCGGAGCCAGGGAUUGGAUACAGGGCCUCAUGCACUAGACAAGUACCCUACCGUUGAGCUCCACCCCUCCCCUACCCCCACUCCUUGGUCUAGUUUUAAAAAUAGAAAUCUAGCCUUCUAUUUCUGUAGAAUACAGAAGUGUGGGCAUGAGUGGAGUAGGAAGAGUGUGCCCCUGCUUCGGGCACACCCAGGUUCAAAGCUGGGCUCUGAACUGUGUAGCCAGGUCCACACAAGGGAAAAUGAACCCCACUCUGCAGGAGAACGGGGGUGUCAGAGAGUCAUUGGUCCUAGCCUUGCAGUGUGUUAUGGAUGCGAGCUCUCUUCCUGUCUAACAGUGAGGUGUCCAUGCUUUGGUAAGAACUCAGCUCCUGAACAGAAAGCCGGUCUCCCGGUUGGAUGCAUUCUCCCCUAAGGGCCUUGGGGGGAGGUCUGAAUGGCUCUAAAGCUGAGGUUCUCACCCUUCCAAAUCUGCAACUCUUUAAUAUAUGUUGUGGUGACCCCCCAGCCAUAAAACUAUUGUUUUGCUACUUUAAAGCUGUAAUCUGUUUACCGAUAUCAUCUGAUGUAUAAUGCAUGGUGAUGAUACAUAUGGUAAUAUCAUAAUGUAAAUAUCUGACAUGUGGGAUAUCUAAUAUGUGACCCCUGUGAAAGGAUUAUUCAAUUCCCAACAGGGGUCAGGACCCACAGGUUGAGAACUGCUGUUAAAGGAGUCAGUCUCUGUUGGGAGUUUCUGUAGAAGCUCAGUGAAGAUCAAGUCACAUGACAUCGUGUGGUUACAAGGGACUAUGGCCAAAACCAAGAGAUGGGUGCCAUGUGGUAAAAGCAGAUCGUUGGGCUGGGAAUUAGAACAUUUAGUUUCUUCCUGUCUCCCCUACUCACUGGGAAUCCCCCAAAGGGACCACAUAUUUCCUGACUUUAAAGACUUCCUUCCCUAUAUGGUGCAGGCAAGCCUCUGCCUUCUAGAAGCAGGACAGCCCAGAAGUCUGGAGCCCAGCAUCAGGUUUCCGGCUAGACUCUGACACCUGUUCCUUCCACCGCCUCUGACCGUGGUGUUCACUGAACCAUUCUGAGCCUUCAUUUUUGUCAUCGUCAACCGGGCUUAGGCAUGCUGUGUUCAGAACCAUCAGAAACGCCAUGGGGCUCAGAAACACCAUCGUAAAGAAGCUUAAGAAACUGGACCUACAGCGGAUUUAGGAAAGGUGUUCUGGAAGCCAGCAACUCUCUGUACCAUUCCUUCUGGGAACCAAUGUAGCAGAGCCAAUGGCCGUGCUUAGGCCUCCCAGAUGCCUUUGGGGGCAGAGCCUUGGGUCCCAUGGGCACAGGUGCAGUGGGAAACCUCUGAAAGCAGUGUGGGAAUCCACCAAGUGAGAGCCCCUCCCUGAUUCCAGGUGGCUUUUUCCCCCAAGGCAUUAUGUGUUAGACCGUCUUAGCCCUGAGUCAUCCUUCCAUCUCUUUAAGAUAAAAACAGAAGCUCUGAAGUUUGAUGGAGUCAAUAUAGGGGUGUUUCAGCAAAGCAGUGUUGGAGGUACCCCUGGGGAGGUGAAAUGAAGUUGCUUGGUACACGUUAGGGGCUCAGCAAUUACCUGUUGAAUAAAUGAAAGAAUGAAUUGUCUGUAA